rnacentral:rRNA from 1 species
CGGUGUUCAACUGGCGUGCCCGCGGGACGUCCUGCCGGUGAGCUCAGCCCGCGAGGGCGGCUCAACUUGAAAUCCCAUCGCGGUGCUCUUCAUUGAGUGUCGAGGUGGGCCGGCACGAUUACUUUUGAACAAAUUAGAGUGCUUAAAGCAGGCUAAAAUUUUGCCUGAAUACUGUGUAUAUGGAAUAAUGGAAUAGGACCUCGGUUCUAUUUUGUUGGUUUUCGGAACCCCGAGGUAAUGAUUAAUAGGAACGGAUGGGGGCAUUCGUAUUGCGACGUUAGAGGUGAAAUUCUUGGAUCGUCGCAAGACGGACUAAAGCGAAAGCAUUUGCCAAAAACGCUUUCAUUGAUCAAGAACGAAAGUUAGAGGUUCGAAGGCGAUCAGAUACCGCCCUAGUUCUAACCAUAAACUAUGCCAGCUAGCGAUCCGCCGACGUCCCUCUGAUGACUCGGCGGGCAGCUUCCGGGAAACCAAAGCUUUUGGGUUCCGGGGGAAGUAUGGUUGCAAAGCUGAAACUUAAAGGAAUUGACGGAAGGGCACCACCAGGAGUGGAGCCUGCGGCUUAAUUUGACUCAACACGGGAAACCUCACCAGGCCCAGACACUGGAAGGAUUGACAGAUUGAGAGCCCUUUCUUGAUUCAGUGGGUGGUGGUGCAUGGCCGUUCUUAGUCGGUGGAGCGAUUUGUCAGGUUAAUUCCGAUAACGGACGAGACUCUGACCUGAUAACUAGACGCACUUGCGGCAUCUCAAAGGUCCGCCGGCGGCUGGCUUUGCGCCCGUCGUCGCGCGCGAUUUUUACUGCCGGCGUACAAUAAAUUCUUCUUAGAGGGACAAGUGG